UACGUAGGGUGCAAGCGUUGCCCGGAUUUACUGGGCGUAAAGGGCGCGUAGGCGGCCAGCAAAAGUCGGUUGUGAAAUCUCCGGGCUUAACUCGGAAAGGUCAACCGAUACUGUGCGGCUAGAGUGCGGAAGGGGCAACUGGAAUUCUCGGUGUAGCGGUGAAAUGCGUAGAUAUUGGGAGGAACACCAGUGGCGAAGGCGGCUCACUGGACCGGUACUGACGCUGAGGCGCGAAAGCGUGGGGAGCAAACGGG
rnacentral:rRNA from 1 species